rnacentral:rRNA from 1 species
GCUAAUACCGCAUACGAUCUCUGGAUGAAAGCGGGGGACUCGCAAGAGCCUCGCGCGAUUGGAGCGGCCGAUAUCAGAUUAGCUAGUUGGUGGGGUAAAAGCCCACCAAGGCGACGAUCUGUAGCUGGUCUGAGAGGACGACCAGCCACACUGGAACUGAGACACGGUCCAGACUCCUACGGGAGGCAGCAGUGGGGAAUUUUGGACAAUGGGCGCAAGCCUGAUCCAGCAAUGCCGCGUGCAGGAUGAAGGCCUUCGGGUUGUAAACUGCUUUUGUACGGAACGAAACGGUCCCUUCUAAUACAAGGGGCUAAUGACGGUACCGUAAGAAUAAGCACCGGCUAACUACGUGCCAGCAGCCGCGGUAAUACGUAGGGUGCGAGCGUUAAUCGGAAUUACUGGGCGUAAAGCGUGCGCAGGCGGUUAUAUAAGACAGAUGUGAAAUCCCCGGGCUCAACCUGGGACCUGCAUUUGUGACUGUAUAGCUAGAGUACGGUAGAGGGGGAUGGAAUUCCGCGUGUAGCAGUGAAAUGCGUAGAUAUGCGGAGGAACACCGAUGGCGAAGGCAAUCCCCUGGACCUGUACUGACGCUCAUGCACGAAAGCGUGGGGAGCAAACAGGAUUAGAUACCCUGGUAGUCCAC